UUUCCAGACAGUAGCUUAUAUUGAAACAUCACUUCUCAUUUGCUGUUUGGACAAUGGUGAUGGAACUGCUGCUUUAUUGCCCACGGAGAAGCGAAGUGAAGAGUCUAAAGUGGGUCUUGCAGUUACACUGGACAAAAGAAGUUUGAAACUGAGGCUUGGUCCUGAAGAAAACAUAGAGAAGCCUGACAGAUUAUAUAUAUUCACAGCUUUGACUUAAAGGUUGCUGGUUGACCAAUAAGUAAUACAAGAAGAAAUGGUCUUUUCUGGAAUUGUCCUUCUUUCCAGGGCAGGUAUCAAUGGUGAGCAGAAGAGGAGCAGGGAAUGAUGAAAGACCACACAUUCUCCAAAAG
rnacentral:lncRNA from 1 species